UUUCCGUAGGUGAACCUGCGGAAGGAUCAUUACUGAGUGAGGGCCCUCUGGGUCCAACCUCCCACCCGUGUUUAUUGUACCUUGUUGCUUCGGUGAGCCCGCCUCACGGCCGCCGGGGGGCAUCUGCCCCCGGGCCCGCGCUCGCCGAAGACACCCUCGAACUCUGUCUGAAGUUUGCAGUCUGAGCGAAAACUAAAUAAGUUAAAACUUUCAACAACGGAUCUCUUGGUUCCGGCAUCGAUGGAGAACGCAGC
rnacentral:misc_RNA from 1 species